AUUGAACGCUGGCGGCAGGCCUAACACAUGCAAGUCGAGCGGAUGAAGGGAGCUUGCUCCUGGAUUCAGCGGCGGACGGGUGAGUAAUGCCUAGGAAUCUGCCUGGUAGUGGGGGACAACGUUUCGAAAGGAACGCUAAUACCGCAUACGUCCUACGGGAGAAAGCAGGGGACCUUCGGGCCUUGCGCUAUCAGAUGAGCCUAGGUCGGAUUAGCUAGUUGGUGAGGUAAUGGCUCACCAAGGCGACGAUCUCUAGCUGGUUUGAGAGGAUGAUCAGCCACACUGGAACUGAGACACGGUCCAGACUCCUACGGGAGGCAGCAGUGGGGAAUAUUGGACAAUGGGCGCAAGCCUGAUCCAGCCAUGCCGCGAGUGUGAAGAAGGCCUUCGGGUUGUAAAGCACUUUCAGCGAGGAGGAAGGGGUGUGUGUUAAUAGUACACACCUUUGACGUUACUCGCAGAAGAAGCACCGGCUAACUCUGUGCCAGCCGCCGCGGUAAAAC
rnacentral:rRNA from 1 species